CAAAAGCUAGGAGACUUUUUACUCUCCCAAACAAAACUUGCCCAAUGAAGAUAUGAAUAGGUGCGAGGCAAGAGGGAGUCUGUGUAAUCCAGUCGGAAGAAAUCCAAUUGUUUAUUUCGUCUUCUGUUGUGUUUGCUGGCGAACAACAACUAGUGACUAUGAACUUGUAGACACAAUAUUUAUUUAUUACAAUUGCAGCUUUCAUUCUAUCAUUUCGUUCAUAAGUUUUCAUAUGUCAAAUUGUGUUUCAUUAAAUUAUUCUUCAUGAUUUUCAAAUGAUUUUGUAUUAUUUAUUUCAUAUGCUCAGGAGGAAGUUUUCAGUUAUAUAAUAGUUUAAUUAAACCAUCAUUUGAAUAAAUCUACAAACCGGUUCUUACUAUAAACAUGUCUACACAUCAUUUUGUAUCUACAUUGAAAUGAAUAAAAUAUACGCGUUGACAAU
rnacentral:sRNA from 1 species